UGAAAAGUAGGGGCCUUUUCAAUGGGACU
rnacentral:piRNA from 1 species